CACAGCUUUUAGCACACAAUUACCCUCGUUUCAAUCACUAGAAUUCUUCACACAGAACUGCCAUUCAUAUUACAGUGUUUCACACAAACACAGACUCAUUCUCUCUACUGAACUACAAUCAAAUUUCAGCAUUCAAUCUUUCUUCUUCUCAAAUAAUACCAAUCACAUUUCCAUUCCAUAAUUCACUUCACAAUAUUCAGAAACUUUUAAUCCUCUUAUUCAAAGAAAAUAACAAACAAAAGAAAAGAGGUAGCACCAAGCUUA
rnacentral:lncRNA from 1 species